GACCCCGGUUGAUCCUGCCGGACCCGACCGCUAUCGGGGUGGGACUAAGCCAUGCAAGUCGAGCGCCCCGGGGCAUGGCGGGGCGCGGCGCACGGCUCAGUAACACGUAGCUAACCUACCCUCGGGAGGGGGAUAACCCCGGGAAACUGGGGCUAAUCCCCCAUAGGGGAGGACUCCUGGAAUGGGUCCUCCCCGAAAGGGAUGCGGCGCCAUCCCCGCCGCAUCCGCCCGAGGAUGGGGCUGCGGCCCAUCAGGUAGUUGGCCGGGUAACGGCCGGCCAAGCCGAUAACGGGUACGGGCCGUGAGAGCGGGAGCCCGGAGAUGGGCCCUGAGACAAGGGCCCAGGCCCUACGGGGCGCAGCAGGCGCGAAACCUCCGCAAUGCGGGAAACCGUGACGGGGUCACCCCGAGUGCCGCCUGAGGAGGGCGGCUUUUCCCCGCUGUAAAAAGGCGGGGGUAAUAAGCGGGGGGCAAGCCUGGUGUCAGCCGCCGCGGUAAUACCAGCCCCGCGAGUGGUCGGGACGUUUACUGGGCCUAAAGCGUCCGUAGCCGGCCCGGUAAGUCCUCCCUGAAAGCUCGGGGCUCAACCCCGAGAGAGGGGAGGAUACCUGGAAUGGGUCCUCCCCGAAAGGGAUACGGCGCCAUCCCCGCCGUAUCCGCCCGAGGAUGGGGCUGCGGC
rnacentral:rRNA from 1 species